UACGGAGGGUGCAAGCGUUGUCCGGAAUCAUUGGGCGUAAAGCGCGCGUAGGCGGCCCUGUAAGUCCGUUGUGAAAGUCAAAGGCUCAACCUUUGAAAGCCGAUGGAUACUGCAGGGCUAGAGUCCGGAAGAGGCGAGUGGAAUUCCUGGUGUAGCGGUGGAAUGCGCAGAUAUCAGGAGGAACACCAAUAGCGAAGGCAGCUCGCUGGGACGGUACUGACGCUAAGGCGCGAAAGCGUGGGGAGCGAACAGG
rnacentral:rRNA from 1 species